rnacentral:rRNA from 1 species
UACGUAGGGAGCAAGCGUUGUCCGGAAUCAUUGGGCGUAAAGCGCGCGUAGGCGGCCUCAUAAGUCCGUUGUGAAAGUCAAAGGCUCAACCUUUGAAAGCCGAUGGAUACUGUGAGGCUAGAGUCCGGAAGAGGCGAGUGGAAUUCCUGGUGUAGCGGUGGAAUGCGCAGAUAUCAGGAGGAACACCAAUAGCGAAGGCAGCUCGCUGGGACGGCACUGACGCUAAGGCGCGAAAGCGUGGGGAGCGAACAGG